GGGUUUCCUUAUUCUAUGCAGCCGGAGGACAGGAGUUCAUGACCCUCAGUUUCAUUCCAGAAAAGAUCCUUCAUUACUUCUGUAGGACGAGAGCUCACUGUAAACAUGGUUGAUAGAAGCAUUGCACUGGAGGCUCUGGGAGCACUCUGCACUGGAAACGUGACGUCUGUCCAGCAACAAGCAUCACCAGCUGGUUUGUCCAGAAGGAACCUUCAAGUGGGACCACGGCAGAAUCUGUCCAUCAAGCUUCUCAUCCCUACUAUCAUUGAUGGAGAUGAACACAUGUAAUUAGUGGAGCUUUUCUUACCAUAAAUCCUGAGCUGAUCGACCUGAGCUCUCCGCUCAUCAGGUGGAGUCCAGAAGACAAGAAGGAAAACAACGCUCAUCAACCUCUCCUUCUGAUCUACAUCCUCCUGAAUACGUGGCCCUGCUGGCCUCUGCAGUAAACUGGACUCAUCAGGUUUCUGUCUCCAGAAACUCUAUUGAUGAUCCAGUUAAGACGACAACAGAGUUUUGAAUCAGUGAAAUCUUUACUGAAUUCUGAGUAUUAUGUUUUAAAUUAUGAAAAUAUUCAGAGGAUGCUGAAGUUUUUCUGCACCUGACUGUACUUUUCAUCGUCUCUGUCUCGCUGCUCUUAUUAAUGUUUGAAUAAAUGUUAUUGUCACUACUGUA